GGAAAACUCUUUGGAAAUGAUCUUGC
rnacentral:piRNA from 1 species